AGAGUUUGAUCAUGGCUCAGGAUGAACGCUGGCGGCGUGCCUAACACAUGCAAGUCGAACGGAGUUUAUAUUAUGAAGUCUUCGGAUGAACUGAUGUAAACUUAGUGGCGGACGGGUGAGUAACGCGUGGGUAACCUGCCUCAUACAGGGGGAUAACAGCCGGAAACGGUUGCUAAAACCGCAUAAGCGCACAGCAGCGCAUGCUGCAGCGUGAAAAUAUUUUAUAGGUAUGAGAUGAGCCCGCGUCCCAUUAGCUAGUUGGUGAGGUAAAGGCUCACCAAGGCGACGAUGGGUAGCCGGCCUGAGAGGGUGAACGGCCACAUUGGGACUGAGACACGGCCCAAACUCCUACGGGAGGCAGCAGUGGGGAAUAUUGCACAAUGGGGGAAACCCUGAUGCAGCGACGCCGCGUGAGUGAAGAAGUAUUUCGGUACGUAAAGCUCUAUCAGCAGGGAAGAAAAUGACGGUACCUGACUAAGAAGCCCCGGCUAACUACGUGCCAGCAGCCGCGGUAAU
rnacentral:rRNA from 1 species